rnacentral:rRNA from 1 species
UACGGGGGGGGCAAGCGUUGUUCGGAAUUACUGGGCGUAAAGGGCUCGUAGGCGGCCAACUAAGUCGGAUGUGAAAUCCCCAGGCUUAACCUGGGAACUGCAUCCGAUACUGGAUGGCUUGAAUUCGGGAGAGGGAUGCAGAAUUCCAGGUGUAGCGGUGAAAUGCGUAGAUAUCUGGAGGAAUACCGGUGGCGAAGGCGGCAUCCUGGACCGAUAUUGACGCUGAGGCGCGAAAGCGUGGGGAGCGAACGGG